rnacentral:rRNA from 1 species
AGAGUUUGAUCCUGGCUCAGGAUGAACGCUGGCGGCGUGCCUAACACAUGCAAGUCGAGCGAAGCACUUCAUUAGAACUCUUCGGAGGGACGAGGAAGUGACUGAGCGGCGGACGGGUGAGUAACGCGUGGGCAACCUGCCUUACACAGGGGGAUAACAGUUAGAAAUGACUGCUAAUACCGCAUAAGACCACAUUGCCGCAUGGCAGGGUGGUAAAAACUCCGGUGGUGUAAGAUGGGCCCGCGUCUGAUUAGGUAGUUGGCAGGGUAGAGGCCUACCAAGCCUACGAUCAGUAGCCGGCCUGAGAGGGUGGACGGCCACAUUGGGACUGAGACACGGCCCAAACUCCUACGGGAGGCAGCAGUGGGGAAUAUUGCACAAUGGGGGAAACCCUGAUGCAGCGACGCCGCGUGAGUGAGGAAGUAUUUCGGUAUGUAAAGCUCUAUCAGCAGGGAAGAAAAUGACGGUACCUGACUAAGAAGCCCCGGCUAACUACGUG